AAACAGCAAACCUCCAAGGCCUCCAAAACCAGAGAAAAGGCGUAGUAUCUGGAGCAGGCUUUCUAGGAGGGGUCCAAUGGCCAGUACAGAUCUGACAGUACAGUACCAUGGUGACAG